rnacentral:rRNA from 1 species
UACAGAGGUGGCAAGCGUUGUUCGGAAUUACUGGGCGUAAAGGGCGCGUAGGCGGCCUUCUAAGUCAGACGUGAAAUCCCCCGGCUUAACCUGGGAACUGCGUCUGAUACUGGAGGGCUUGAGUGCGGGAGAGGGAUGUGGAAUUCCAGGUGUAGCGGUGAAAUGCGUAGAUAUCUGGAGGAACACCGGUGGCGAAGGCGGCAUCCUGGACCGACACUGACGCUGAGGCGCGAAAGCUAGGGUAGCAAACGGA